rnacentral:rRNA from 1 species
UACGGAGGGUGCAAGCGUUAUCCGGAUUCACUGGGUUUAAAGGGUGCGUAGGUGGGCAGGUAAGUCAGUGGUGAAAUCUUUGGGCUUAACCCGAAAACUGCCAUUGAUACUAUUUGUCUUGAAUAUUGUGGAGGUCAGCGGAAUAUGUCAUGUAGCGGUGAAAUGCUUAGAUAUGACAUAGAACACCAAUUGCGAAGGCAGCUCACUACACAAUGAUUGACGCUGAGGCACGAAGGCGUGGGGAUCAAACAGG